CCUAUGGGUGGCUGCAGUGAGGAAUAUUGGUCAAUGGGCGCGAGCCUGAACCAGCCAAGUAGCGUGAAGGAUGACUGCCCUACGGGUUGUAAACUUCUUUUAUAAAGGAAUAAAGUGAGGCACGUGUGCCUUUUUGUAUGUACUUUAUGAAUAAGGAUCGGCUAACUCCGUGCCAGCAGCCGCGGUAAUACGGAGGAUCCGAGCGUUAUCCGGAUUUAUUGGGUUUAAAGGGAGCGUAGAUGGGUUGUUAAGUCAGUUGUGAAAGUUUGCGGCUCAACCGUAAAAUUGCAAUUGAUACUGGCAGUCUUGAGUACAGUUGAGGUAGGCGGAAUUCUCGGUGUAGCAGUGAAAUGUGUAGAUAUCGAGAGGAACACUCGUGGCGAAGGCAGCCUACUAAACUGCCACUGACAUUGAUGCUCGAAAGUGUGGGUAUCAAACAGGAUUAGAUACCCCGGUAGUC
rnacentral:rRNA from 1 species